GAGGGCAUAGCUCAAGCGGUACAGUGUGUGCUUAGCAUGCACAAGGUCCUGGGUUCCAUCCCCAGUACCUCCG
rfam:Camelus ferus unplaced genomic scaffold scaffold1679, whole genome shotgun sequence.